rnacentral:rRNA from 1 species
ACUCCUACGGGAGGCAGCAGUGGGGAAUAUUGCACAAUGGGCGCAAGCCUGAUGCAGCGACGCCGCGUGAGGGAUGACGGCCUUCGGGUUGUAAACCUCUUUCAGUAUGGAACAAGGAUCCUUCUUUUGGGGGGUUGGAGGGUACGUGCAGA